UUUCCUACGGGGGGGCAGCAGUGUGGAAUAUUGCACAAUGGGCGCAAGCCUGAUGCAGCCAUGCCGCGUGUGUGAAGAAGGCCUUCGGGUUGUAAAGCACUUUCAGCGGGGAGGAAGGCGUGAGGUUAAUAACCUCRUCGAUUGACGUUACCCGCAGAAGAAGCACCGGCUAACUCCGUGCCAGCAGCCGCGGUAAUACGGAGGGUGCAAGCGUUAAUCGGAAUUACUGGGCGUAAAGCGCACGCAGGCGGUCUGUCAAGUCGGAUGUGAAAUCCCCGGGCUCAACCUGGGAACUGCAUUCGAAACUGGCAGGCUAGAGUCUUGUAGAGGGGGGUAGAAUUCCAGGUGUAGCGGUGAAAUGCGUAGAGAUCUGGAGGAAUACCGGUGGCGAAGGCGGCCCCCUGGACAAAGACUGACGCUCAGGUGC
rnacentral:rRNA from 1 species